ensembl:lncRNA
AUUCCAUGCUGUCUGUCAGUUGGUUCUUCUUCUCUGGUUUUGGAAGCAGCGUAGAGUAUAAACCAACACAUUCCAUGCUGUCUGUCAGUUGGUUCUUCUUCUCUGGUUUUGGAAGCAGCGUAGAGUAUAAACCAACACAUUCCAUGCUGUCUGUCAGUUGGUUCUUCUUCUCUGGUUUUGGAAGCAGCGUAGAGUAUACACCAACACAUUCCAUGCUGUCUGUCAGUUGGUUCUUCUUCUCUGGUUUUGGAAGCAGCGUAGAGUAUACACCAACACAUUCCAUGCUGUCUGUCAGUUGGUUCUUCUUCUCUGGUUUUGGAAGCAGCGUAGAGUAUACACCAACACAUUCCAUGCUGUAUGUCAGUUGGUUCUUCUUCUCUGGUUUUGGAAGCAGCGUAGAGUAUACACCAACACAUUCCAUGCCGUCUGUCAGUUGGUUCUUCUUCUCUGGUUUUGGAAGCAGCGUAGAGUAUACACCACCACAUUCCAUGCUGUCUGUCAGUUGGUUCUUCUUCUCUGGUUUUGGAAGCAGGGUAGAGUAUACACCAACACAUUCCAUGCUGUCUGUCAGUUGGUUCUUCUUCUCUGGUUUUGGAAGCAGCGUAGAGUAUACACCAACACAUUCCAUGCGGUCUGUCAGUUGGUUCUUCUUCUCUGGUUUUGGAAGCAGCGUAGAGUAUACACCAACACAUUCCAUGCUGUCUGUCAGUUGGUUGUCUCUCUCAAAAAAGGUGUUGAACACAAGCAGAUCUGGGAUCCAGGCUACCAACCUGCCUUGUGCUUCCUGCUGUCUAACACUUCAUGAUAGACGGACCGACGCUUCAUUAAUUCUACUCUGUCCACCAGCACAGCAUUUAAACUGCUUUUAUUUUGACAAACAAACGGGGCACUGAGCCUGGGGGACGAGGUGUCGUCUCUAGUCACUGAGCCUGGGGAUGAGGUGUUGUCUCUAGUCACUGAGCCUGGGGAUGAGGUGUUGUCUCUAGUCACCGAGCCUGGGGAUGAGGUGUUGUCUCUAGUCACUGAGCCUGGGGAUGAGGUGUCAUCUCUAGUCACCGAGCCUGGGGGACGAGGUGUCGUCUCUAGUCACUGAGCCUGGGGAUGAGGUGUCGUCUCUAGUCACUGAGCUUGGGGAUGAGGUUAGUGGAGGUGUUAUGCAAUCAUGAAGCGGGUUUUACCAACAUCAAAAGCUUUGGUUUCUGUUCAUCUGUUGGCUCUACUUUACAUAGACACCUUAUGCAACCAUGGAUUUAUACAGGAAGUCUUCCAUAGACCUACCAAUUCUUAGCCUGGCCCCAGAUCUGUUUCUACUGUCUAGCCAAAUCCUAAAUAGUGUUUGACAUGACAAUGACCAUAAGAGUUGGAUAUACAAACUAAUCUGAGUAUAGGCUAACAAAGCCCUACUCUGUGAACUAACUGGAGUCUGGUGGGCGUAUGGGGUGGACGGGUGGGCGUAUGGGGUGGUUGUUUGGGCGUAUAAAGCAAACGUCUUGGAACCAUUGCGACUUUGCAACUACUUAACAUGUUAGCUAACCCUUCCUCUAAAAUCAAAUCAAAAAAUCUAAUUUAUUUAUAAAAUCAAAUGUAUUUAUAUAGCCCUUCGUACAUCAGCUGAUAUCUCAAAGUGCUGUACAGAAACCCAGCCUAAAGCCCCAAACAGCAAGCAAUGCAGGUGUAGAAGCUCUAAUCUUAACAUGUUAGCUAACCCUUCCCCUUUAACGUAACUCCUAAACUAACUGUCAGCCAUCUAACUAGAAUUCGUAACAUAUCAUACGUUUUACAAAUUUGUUACAAUAUUGUACGUUUGGCAAAUUCGUAACAUACAAAAUGAAUACAUACGAAACAUAACAUAUCAUACCAAAUGGAGUGUCUCGGAUUUACAUAUAGAAUACUAGGAAAUGAUCUGAGACCAGGUUAUGGAACAAGGUACUAGACUAUCUUCAGACCAGGGCAGACCAGGGACUAUGAAAUACUCCCCCCACCGUUAACAAGCGCAUUACACUCUAUUUCGUCAUCCAGAUAAGGUCAGUGUAUGAAUUGAUAUUUAUCACUGUACCAUGCUUGUUCAGUGUUAUUUAUUACAUUUUUAAAAACUAACUGGCAACAAGUUAAAAAUUAUUAGUAUUUUUAAGAUGCUCAUUGAAAUAUUUAGCAAAUCACUAAGGAUCAAGGUUCAUUUGUGUACUUGUGUUAAUAUUUGCAACUACUGCACCAAGCUAAAUGACACAUUUACAUUCAGGGACAAGUUGGUUCAUCUUGACCCUCCGCUGUUAGUUACUGAUUGACUGGGGACCUGAUAUGAGUGAUGUUUUGUAACAAAGAUCCUUGCUGUCUUUUUCAAAAAGCGAUUUAUCAACUACAGUAUGUACAGUGGCAGAGCUGAGCUUUGGGAACGUUACACGUGUCACAUGGAAAGCAGUGGCAUAGUGGUGUUAAGUAACUUCACAGUAUAUUUUAGAAGCCUGAGUGUUGGACAUACAGGAUGGUAUAUUUUAGAAGCCUGAGUGUUGGACAUACAGGAUGAUCAUGGUCAGCUGGAAUGGAAUGACCCUAAACAUUGACCCAGAUAAAGGCUCUAUCCCAAAUGGCACCCUAUUCCCUACAUAGUACACUACAUUUAACCAGAGCCCUGUGGUCACAAGUAGUGUACUUUGACUGCUUGCAUCCCAAAUAGCACCCUAUCUUCUACUAUCUCCACGUUAUCGCGUUAUCUAUGAGAACUUACUAACCCUACCCUCCCUCUGGUUAUUUUCCCCACGUAGUACUGCCUGACUCACUCACAGCCUGUGACUAAAUCAAUGGCUUCACUAGCUGCUGAGGCUCAGUGACAUCACAAUGGCAGGUUGUGUUCUAAAUGGCUUCCCCUCACUAGCUGCUGAGGCUCAGUGACAUCACAAUGGCAGGUUGUGUUCUAAAUGGCUUCCCCUCACUAGCUGCUGAGGCUCAGUGACAUCACAAUGGCAGGUUGUGUUCUAAAUGGCUUCCCCUCACUAGCUGCUGAGGCUCAGUGACAUCACAAUGGCAGGUUGUGUUCUAAAUGGCUUCCCCUCACUAGCUGCUGAGGCUCAGUGACAUCACAAUGUCAGGGCUGUGUUCUAAAUGGCUUCCCCUCACUAGCUGCUGAGGAUCAGUGACAUCACAAUGGCAGGGUGUGUUCUAAAUGACACCCUCUUUCCUAUAUAUAGUGUACUACUUUUCAACAGGGCCCAUAGGGCUAUAGUCAAAAGUAUUGCACCACAUAAGGAAAAGGGUGCAAUUUUGGAUGCAGUGUAUGUAUGAGGACAUUCAGUCCCCAAUGACAACCUCAGUCCAUCCAAGCCCUUCACAGCAUCUCUCCACACACACACAGACUUAGACCAACAAAGAAGUCUCCUGGUCUCAGUGUAGUGGACUACAGAGCUAAAUAGGAAGGGGGGUUGAGGGUUGAGUCCCAAAUGGGUACCCUAGUCACAGAGACGGAGAUAUAUCAAACGAUCAACAGGGACUGCUGGCCGCCACCACCUGAUCAUUGAGGUAAAUUGAGCAUGGAAGGGUCUGCUGAUGAUCACUUCCAUUUUAUACUGAACAAAAAAAUGUAUGCAACGUGUUGGUCCCAUGUUUAAUGAGCUGAAAUAAACGAUCCCAGAAAUGUUCCAUUCGCACAAAAAGCUUUUUUUCUCUCUUAACAUUUUCUGCCCAAAUUUGUUUCCAUCCCUGUUUAGUGAGCAUUUCUCCUUUGCCAAGAUAAUCCAUCCACCUGACAGGUAUGGCAUAUCAAGAAGCUGAUUAAACAGCAUGAUCAAUACACAGGUGCACCUUGUGCUGGGGACAAUAAAAUUCCCUAUUUAAAAUGUGCAGUUUUGUCACACAACACAAUGCCACAGAUGUCUCAAGUUUUGAGGGAGCGUGCAACUGGCAAGCUGACUGCAGGAAUGUCCACCAGAGAUGUUGCCAGAGAACUGGGUGUUAAUUUCUCUACCAGAAGCGGCUUACAACAAUUUUUUGAGAAUUUGGCAGUAUGUCCAACCGGCCUCACAACCUCAGACCACGGUUAACCACGCCAGCCCAGGACCUCCACAUCCGGCUUCUUCACCCGUGGGAUCGUCUGAGACCAGCCACCCGGACAGCUGAUGA